rnacentral:rRNA from 1 species
UUGGUUGAAGAUGGGCAUGCGUUCGAUUAGCUAGUUGGUGCGGGUAACGGCCUACCAAGGCGACGAUCGAUAGGGGAGCUGAGAGGUUGAUCCCCCACACGGGCACUGAGAUACGGGCCCGACUCCUACGGGAGGCAGCAGUAGGGAAUAUUGGGCAAUGGAUGCAAGUCUGACCCAGCCAUGCCGCGUGCCGGAUGAAGGCCCUCAGGGUUGUAAACGGCUUUUAUUCGGGAAGAAGAGCGAGGAUGCGUCCUUGUGUGACGGUACCGAAUGAAUAAGCACCGGCUAACUCCGUGCCAG